ACGGCUACCUUGUUACGACUUAGCCCCAGUCACCGGUUUUACCUUAGGGCGCUCCUUGCGGUUGCACACUUCAGGCACUCCCGGCUUCCAUGGCUUGACGGGCGGUGUGUACAAGGCCCGGGAACGUAUUCACCGCGCCGUGGCUGAUGCGCGAUUACUAGCGAAUCCAGCUUCAUGGAGUCGGGUUGCAGACUCCAAUCCGAACUGAGACAGGCUUUGAAGUUCCGCUCUGCGUCGCCGCAUCGCUUCUCUCUGUACCUGCCAUUGUAACACGUGUGUCGCCCCGGACGUAAGGGCCGUGCUGAUUUGACGUCAUCCCCGCCUUCCUCACAACUUGCGCCGGCAGUCUCGCCAGAGUCCCCAACUUUACUUGCUGGUAACUGGCGAUGGGGGUUGCGCUCGUUAUGGCACUUAAGCCGACACCUCACGGCACGAGCUGACGACAACCAUGCAGCACCUCGACGGAUGUCCCGUAGGACUGCCUCCUUUCAGAAACAUCCAUCCGUCGUUUGAGCCCGGGUAAGGUUCCUCGCGUAUCAUCGAAUUAAACCACAUGUUCCUCCGCUUGUGCGGGCCCCCGUCAAUUCCUUUGAGUUUCACCGUUGCCGGCGUACUCCCC
rnacentral:rRNA from 1 species